rnacentral:tRNA from 2 species
GACCAUGUAGCGCAGUGGUUGACGCGCCCUCCCCCUGGGAGGGAGGACGCCGGUUCGAGUCCGGCCUGGUCC